ACGUAGCUCUAUCGCCGCCAUUGCGCGUUCUUGGAACGAGCGCGACGGUGACGUUGCGGUGUGCGGCCUCUCGGACGAGAAGACUGGGCUUACGUUGGAUGCAAGUUAUUGUCGUCCGGCAAGGUUUUAAAAAGUGAUGUUAUAGCCACUGGACAUUGAAGCGAUUGAAGACCAGAAAGCCUUAGUGCGACCGGCUUGAUUCAGGUGGCUUAUAUGUAUACCAUUGGGAGAGUUAAAGAAGUUUAGUCCUCUAAAAGAAGUCCUCCGGAAAGUUUACUGCAACAAAGAUUACUCCCGAGAGCGACACUCGUUAAGGAUGCGAGUAUUUGAAGUUCCGCUUUCAAGCAUUGGACGGCCUGCAAAUUACCAUUGGAGCCAAACUGUAUGCAUUUUCUAGAUGAUCUUAAAUACAGAGCGGUAUUCUAAAGAUGUAGUUGUGCAGUGUGUAGUUCGUAGAUUACGAAACAACGGAGCGAGAAUACAGUUGGCGUUCCGUUUUGGGUCAGUUAUUUUGUUUUCCUUUUUCCAUGUUUUAAAGUCGCUGUGCUUUAUGCUCAGGAUCGAAGCAAAAUGUACAGGAGUAGGCUGCGAUGUGAUGCGUGUUGUAUAAAACCAAUAAACCAAAAAUGGCA